GGAAGAGGACAGCUGAUAAAGCAGCCCCUAUGUUUACAAAGGGUGACUCGCAACCCCCCCACACCGCCCUCCCCCUCGGUGGCAGCUCCUCUUGAGGUUUAAGGUGACAUCCUGCCUGCAGCGCCGUCCCCAUCCCUGGGCCUCCUGGGGCAGGUAGGGAAACCGCAGGGCACAGCGAGGGCUGAGGGUGCUGCAGGAGAGUCAGGGACAAAUCCAGCAGCUCAUCUUCCCCGUGUGGUUUUGGGGGACGUAGUACAGGGCAGAGCUAACAGCGUGGAGCAGAGGCUGCUGUCCUUGAGCUCCCCAUCAUCUCCUUCCUCUGUUGCGGGGGAAUGAAGGCCAAUUUUGCUUUUGAAGGCCACCAAGAGGGAAAGCAGUGAGACAGAAAUUGGGGGAAUAUCCUCCUAUUGGAGCACCUUUUGCAUCAGUGCUUUAUUCCGGGGGCAAUGGGAUGUGUGGCAAUGGAAUCAGAUCCAAGCACUGGAGACUGCCCCGAGAAUCCCAGCAGUGCUGCUCACAGCUCUGGGUACCCCCAGCAACAUCAUCAUAUGGAGAUAGGGGCAGGAGGUGCCUGCAUCCCAUCUCCCUUCCCUGGGGGAUGCAAUAGGGAUGGGGAUUGGGUGGAGAUGGGAUGGGGUGAGGAUGGGGAUGGGGUGAGGAUGAGGAUAAGGGUGACAGUGGGGAUGAGAUGGGGAUGGGAUGGAUAUGGGAUGGAAUGAGAUGAGGAUGGGCAUGGCAGUGAGGGUGAGAUGGGGAUGGGAUGAGGAUGGGGAUGAGGAUAAGGAUGGCGAUGAGGAUGAGAUGGGGAUGGGAUGGGAGGGGAGGGGAUGGGAUGAGGAUGGGGAUGGGAAUGGGGAUGAGGAUGGGGAUGGGAUGGGAUGAGGAUGGGAAUGGGGUGGGAAUGAGAUGAGGAUGGGGAUGAGAACCCCCCCGGCCCCAUGCAUCAGUGCAGGAGCGCAGUGCCCCAGCACACGGGGCCGGGGAACGCCGCUCACUUGGCACCCACUCGCUUCGCACACGCGGUGCGAUGCAGAGAUAAGAUAAAGC
ensembl:lncRNA